GACGAACGCUGGCGGCGUGCUUAACACAUGCAAGUCGAGCGGUAAGGCCCUUUCGGGGGUACACGAGCGGCGAACGGGUGAGUAACACGUGGGUGACCUGCCCUUAGCUCUGGGAUAAGCCUGGGAAACUGGGUCUAAUACCGGAUAUGACCUCAUGAUGCAUGUUGUGGGGUGGAAAGCCUUGUGCGGCUAGGGAUGGGCCCGCGGCCUAUCAGCUUGUUGGUGGGGUGAUGGCCUACCAAGGCGACGACGGGUAGCCGGCCUGAGAGGGCGACCGGCCACACUGGGACUGAGACACGGCCCAGACUCCUACGGGAGGCAGCAGUGGGGAAUCUUGCGCAAUGGGCGAAAGCCUGACGCAGCGACGCCGCGUGAGGGAUGACGGCC
rnacentral:rRNA from 1 species